AAAUUGAAGAGUUUGAUCAUGGCUCAGAUUGAACGCUGGCGGCAGGCCUAACACAUGCAAGUCGAACGGUAACAGGAAGCAGCUUGCUGCUUUGCUGACGAGUGGCGGACGGGUGAGUAAUGUCUGGGAAACUGCCCGAUGGAGGGGGAUAACUACUGGAAACGGUGGCUAAUACCGCAUAACGUCGCAAGACCAAAGAGGGGGACCUUCGGGCCUCUUGCCAUCAGAUGUGCCCAGAUGGGAUUAGCUUGUUGGUGAGGUAACGG
rnacentral:rRNA from 1 species